UAUUAGGAUUAAAAAUAAAAGAAAAUUGGUUAUUAUCAUAACAAACGUUCCUUAACUAAGGACAAUUAACAAACGUCCUUAUGAACACGUGUCUCUUUUUCUUUCCACAUAGAUUCUCUCUCUCGACGGAAAUCAGUGUUCUCCCACUGUAAUCACUCCGGCCACCACCGCUGCCCUCCCUUUCCCAGUUCCCUCUAUUAGUCGUAACAGUGGUAUCAAAACCUUUCAUCCUCAGAAUCUAUGGCAGAGAUCGGCGAUUUUAUUAGGGCUUGGCGAACAGAAUCAAUGGAGGAAACUGCUAUCGAGCGGAAUCAAUGGCGUAGACUUAGGGUUGUCGAAGACAGGAAUCGAAGACAGGAAUCGCACCUUUCGUCCUCUCACGGUUUUGAAAUCGAGAGGACAGAAGCUCGAGACUAGGCUGUUGGAAAUUGCAGAAGAAAAAGUAUGAUUCGAAACGUUUUUCAGAAGUGGAAGUGGUUUGAUUGGAAGUGUUCUUUGCAGGAGGUUGAUGAGUUCAUAAUUGAGUUGCCUAGAUCUUUUGACGGUAAAGAGACGGUUCAGUCUAAUAAAGUUCGAUCUGUCGCCGAAAGGCUUGCAGUUCAAGCUGCCGAGAGGGGUUGGAGGGUUUAUGUAUUGGAUGAACAUGGGACAUCAUCAGAAGCUUCAGAUAGAAUGAUUGUAAUGUUAGUUCCUCUUCUCAUUCUUUCUCUAUUAUUGGUUAUUUGUGUGUGGAUGAUUUGAACUUGAUGAUGUUUGAACAUUCAUGGGACUUGGCAAGAGUGAAAGGCAGAGCAGAGAAGACGCAUACACUACUGUGAUAUUGUUGGAGAGGUAUUUCUCUACACAAGGUCUAUGAGCCGAGAUUAUACUUCCCAAGAGUUUAGACCUCCAAGAGAAGAUCAAGAACACUGCACCUAAAGACCCUGACUUUUUACCUGGAAAGCUCGAAGAGUAUUACAGAUUCUAGCUCAUUGUUUCAUGAGGUUUCAUUUAUUUCAGUUCUUUUUUGUACUUCUUGGCAGCUAUAUACUCCUUCACAUAAGCACAUUACUUCUCACCAAA